CCCUUCAAACGGGGAAGACUUGAGAAAAUUAGUUUUCAAAGUCUACUUUGACGAUGAAAAUAAUAAUAAUAAUAAUAAUUGUAAAAAUAUACUCUUGACCUUAGGGAAGACUUAAAAAAUUUCUAUUGGCUUCAACCUCUUUAGUCUUUACCGUCGCUUUGGAAUUGUCAUCUUCUCCUUUCUUCUUCAAGAUGACCGGUGAAGCCAUCUCCGACGAGAUUAGAGAAACGAAGAUUAAUGUCGUUUCAUCAUCGACUUCUGUGAACAAAGCUCUGAAUGUGAGGCCCAGCGAGUCACCUAUCUUCCACGCAAUCAUGGCCAUUAUAUGUGCAUCCAUUGCUGGUAUACUAAUGUGGGCAGCUAUAAAUGGAAUCGAUCCUGCAGACCCAGAUCACCCUAUUGGCCUUGCUAUCAUUUUCUUCUCAACCUCUGUUACUGUAGUCAUUGCAUGUUAUUUUGGGUACCUUUCUAUUUUGGCUUUUUGCUACUUGUUUACAAAAUAAAUCGCAUAUGAAUAAUUUCCUUGUCCCCAUUUAAACUUUAUAUCCAUGAUAUUGGACUGAAGAAUAUUUUUUGAAUUGCUAUUGCAUGUAAUGAAUUUGGAAUUCAAAUUAUAAAUUGUUUAGAUUGCUUAA